rnacentral:piRNA from 1 species
UUCAGACUCUUGGACCUGAUGUUUCUGA